UCAGAGUGUAGCUUAUACAGAAAAGUAUCUCCCUUACACUGAGAAGUCGCCCGUGCAAAUCGAGCCACCCUGAU
rnacentral:tRNA from 1 species